GAUGAAGAACGCAGCGAAAUGCGAUAAGUAAUGUGAAUUGCAGAAUUCAGUGAAUCAUCGAAUCUUUGAACGCACCUUGCGCCCUUUGGACAUUCCGAAGGGCAUGCCUGUUUGAGUAUCAUGAACACCUCAACUCUCACGGCUUGUCCGUGAUGAGCUUGGACUCUGGGGGUCUUGCCGGCCUGUGGUCGGCUCCUCUCAAAUGGAUCAGCUUGCCAGUGUUUGGUGGCAUCACAGGUGUGAUAACUAUCUGCGCUUGUGGUUUUCCAUCAGAUAACCUUCAGUGAUAUGGAGGUUCGCUGGAGCUCACAAAUGUCUCUCCUUAGUGAGGACAGCUCUUUGAACGUUUGAUCUCAAAUCAGGUAGGACUACCCGCUGAACUUAAGCAUAUCAAUAAGCGGAGGA
rnacentral:misc_RNA from 1 species